rnacentral:rRNA from 1 species
GAUGAACGCUGGCGGCGUGCCUAAUACAUGCAAGUCGAGCGAACAGACGAGGAGCUUGCUCCUCUGACGUUAGCGGCGGACGGGUGAGUAACACGUGGAUAACCUACCUAUAAGACUGGGAUAACUUCGGGAAACCGGAGCUAAUACCGGAUAAUAUAUUGAACCGCAUGGUUCAAUAGUGAAAGACGGUUUUGCUGUCACUUAUAGAUGGAUCCGCGCCGCAUUAGCUAGUUGGUAAGGUAACGGCUUACCAAGGCGACGAUGCGUAGCCGACCUGAGAGGGUGAUCGGCCACACUGGAACUGAGACACGGUCCAGACUCCUACGGGAGGCAGCAGUAGGGAAUCUUCCGCAAUGGGCGAAAGCCUGACGGAGCAACGCCGCGUGAGUGAUGAAAGUCUUCGGAUCGUAAAACUCUGUUAUUAGGGAAGAACAAAUGUGUAAGUAACUAUGCACGUCUUGACGGUACCUAAUCAGAAAGCCACGGCUAACUACGUG